UGUGCAUAAAAUUCUUAGGUCUUUACCGAAAAAUUGAGAGCCAAAGGGGACUACCAUUCAAGAAGCAAAAGACUUAAACAAGUUAGCAUUAGAAGAGCUCAUUGGUUCUCUUAUGACCCAUGAGCUAAACAUGAAUUAAGAGAGAGAAGAAGAGGUGAAGAAAAAGAAAAGCAUAGCCCUUAAAGCUACUGUCAUCCAU
rnacentral:lncRNA from 1 species